rnacentral:hammerhead_ribozyme from 1 species
AUUCAGCUGACGAGUCCCAAAUAUAAGACGAAACGCGCGUCCUGGGAU